rnacentral:pre_miRNA from 1 species
AAUGGGAUAGCUGGGUCAAAUGGUGGUUCCAUUCCCAGAUUUCCAAGGAAUCUCCAUAUUUCUUUUCAUAUUGGCUGCACCAAUUUUCAGUCCCACCAGCAAU